GAUGAACGCUGGCGGCGUGCCUAAUACAUGCAAGUCGAGCGAACGGACGAGAAGCUUGCUUCUCUGAUGUUAGCGGCGGACGGGUGAGUAACACGUGGAUAACCUACCUAUAAGACUGGGAUAACUUCGGGAAACCGGAGCUAAUACCGGAUAAUAUUUUGAACCGCAUGGUUCAAAAGUGAAAGACGGUCUUGCUGUCACUUAUAGAUGGAUCCGCGCUGCAUUAGCUAGUUGGUAAGGUAACGGCUUACCAAGGCAACGAUGCAUAGCCGACCUGAGAGAGUGAUCGGCCACACGGGAACUGAGCCACGGUCCAUACUCCUACGGGAGGCAGCAGUAGGGAAUCUUCCGCAAUGGGCGAAAGCCUGACGGAGCAACGCCGCGUGAGUGAUGAAGGUCUUCGGAUCGUAAAACUCUGUUAUUAGGGAAGAACAUAUGUGUAAGUAACUGUGCACAUCUUGACGGUACCUAAUCAGAAAGCCACGGCUAACUACGUG
rnacentral:rRNA from 1 species